GUGCUUGCUUGCUUCGGCACCACAUACACUAAAAUUGUAACAAUACAGACAGAAUUAUCAUGGUCCCUGUGCAAGGGUAACAUGCAAAUUCACGAAACGCUCCGUAUUUAU